rnacentral:rRNA from 1 species
GAUGAACGCUAGCUACAGGCUUAACACAUGCAAGUCGAGGGGAAACGGCAUCGAAAGCUUGCUUUUGAUGGGCGUCGACCGGCGCACGUGUGAGUAACGCGUAUCCAACCUGCCCAUCACUUGGGAAUAACCUUGCGAAAGUAAGACUAAUGCCCAAUGACAUCCCACGAAGGCAUCCGAAUGGGAUUAAAGAUUUAUCGGUGAUGGAUGGGGAUGCGUCUGAUUAGCUUGUUGGCGGGGUGACGGCCCACCAAGGCAACGAUCAGUAGGGGUUCUGAGAGGAAGGUCCACCACAUUGGAACUGAGACACGGUCCAAACUCCUACGGGAGGCAGCAGUGAGGAAUAUUGGUCAAUGGGCGAGAGCCUGAACCAGCCAAGUAGCGUGCAGGAUGACGGCCCUAUGGGUUGUAAACUGCUUUUAUAAGGGAAUAAAGUGGGUCACGUGUGACUUUUUGCAUGUACCUUAUGAAUAAGGACCGGCUAAUUCCGUG